rnacentral:rRNA from 1 species
AACGAACGCUGGCGGCAUGCCUAACACAUGCAAGUCGAACGAGACCUUCGGGUCUAGUGGCGCACGGGUGCGUAACGCGUGGGAACCUGCCCUUAGGUUCGGAAUAACUCCCCGAAAGGGGUGCUAAUACCGGAUAAUGUCUUCGGACCAAAGAUUUAUCGCCUUUGGAUGGGCCCGCGUUGGAUUAGCUAGUUGGUAGGGUAAAAGCCUACCAAGGCGACGAUCCAUAGCUGGUCUGAGAGGAUGAUCAGCCACACUGGGACUGAGACACGGCCCAGACUCCUACGGGAAGCAGCAGUGGGGAAUAUUGGAAAAUGGGCGAAAGCCUGAUCCAGCAAUGCCGCGUGAGUGAUGAAGGCCUUAGGGUUGUAAAUCUCUUUUACCCGGGAUGAUAAUGACAGUACCGGGAGAAUAAGCUCCGGCUAACUCCGUG